UGACAGCGGAAAAAGUGAACGGAGCCAUUCAAUACCUCAAUACCUUCAAUAUUAACAGCCAUCUUGUUUGACUUGGCAUUUCUCUCUCAGCAGUAGAGAAUGGUUAACAGCGCAGGCAAUUUCCGAUCUGAGCAGACCUGGGAACCCGAGAGAGGGUACUGGAGUGAUGCUGAGAUAGCGGGGGUGAACACACUCCAGACAGACUAAUGAGGAUGCUUAGUCUAAGGAGCUACAUUGGACCACAUUUAAACGCAAAAGUCAAAACAACAACUCAGCUACUCCUCAAAGAAGAAUGCAUAGAAAAAAAAGCAGGAAAGCCCAGAUGGUGGAGGCAUUUACCUGGUAAAGAGGUCUUGAAACACAUCUGUGUGCAUGAAAUAGACGCAGGGGCCCCGGAAGAUUCCUGGCAUGCACACAAACUCGCUGGACAGCUGUGGAGGUGAGAGUCCACAGCAGACUUCGACGCGUACAGACCAUGUCGUCUAGACCUAAUAAAACAGCCUCCAUUAUCAAACUAACUCUGCGACAUUUAUGACACGAUGAGUUUAUGGCAGAGAGGA